rnacentral:rRNA from 1 species
GACGAACGCUGGCGGCGUGCUUAACACAUGCAAGUCGAACGGAAAGGCCCUGCUUUUGUGGGGUGCUCGAGUGGCGAACGGGUGAGUAACACGUGAGUAACCUGCCCUUGACUUUGGGAUAACUUCAGGAAACUGGGGCUAAUACCGGAUAGGAGCUCCUGCUGCAUGGUGGGGGUUGGAAAGUUUCGGCGGUUGGGGAUGGACUCGCGGCUUAUCAGCUUGUUGGUGGGGUAGUGGCUUACCAAGGCUUUGACGGGUAGCCGGCCUGAGAGGGUGACCGGCCACAAUGGGACUGGGGUACGGCCCAGAAUCCUACGGGGGGCAGCAGGGGGGAAUAAUGCAACAUGGGCGGAAGCCUGAUGCAGCAACGCCGCGUGCGGGAUGACGGCCUUCGGGUUGUAAACCGCUUUCGCCUGUGACGAAGCGUGAGUGACGGUAAUGGGUAAAGAAGCACCGGCUAACUACGUG